UAUGACCCUUUGACAGGGGGGCGGGCCCAUCAAUCAAAAUCUGUACAAGUUGUCAACUUUAGACAGAAAGUAUUUAAUGGUUUUAUUGCCGGUCAUUUAGAGUGAUUGUUUUUCCUGAGUGUGUUUUAUGUCACGCGUAUGCUGUUAUGUUUAAUGACGGCUCGUGUUUCGACAUUUGCUGUUUAUUGACAUUUGAUGUCAGAUCUCAACCAUCCUCCCUCCUGUGCUCGCCCCGUGCGCUUCUCAAUACUGACUGUCACACCGCGGGUGUGUUGUUGAAUCUAAAGUUUUGCAACAGCAUAAGUUUAUUUAAAGGCAAUCACUAAUCAUAUAUAUAUAUAUAUAUAUUAGAUGUACCAGGCUACGCUUAAAGCCGAUGUUUUCUAUCGAGCUAUAGUUUCUGAUCAGACACAAAGUCUGAACUAAAUAAAAUUUUAAACGGUUCACGAAGUCCGGGAAUCUUUUCAUGACCUGGUCUACAGUUUCACGCGUAUUAAAGAUCCGGCGGUGUCUGACAAAGCGUCGGGUGAUUGUUCAUAUCUGUCAUUUAAAAUAAAGUUAAUAAAUGUAAUUCUGUCCACUAUGGCAAAAUAGGAAUUUAUUUUAGAUUUAGGGGAAUCUUUAACCAUGUCUCUGAUUAAAACUUUUGAUUGUAACAUCACAAGUUAUUUAAUUAAAUAUUCUGUAUAGGGGUAUAGUUUAAGCAAUGACCUGAGCCAUUACCUUCGGAGCCGUCAAUACUACAUUCUUUAGACGAUAGUCUAAACUAAAUAAAUUUUUAAACGGUUCAGGAAUUCCGUGAAUCUUUUCAUAACCUGCACUAUAGUUUCACGCGUAUUAAAGAUCCGGCGGUGCCUGACAAAGCGCCGGGUGAGUGUUCAUAGCUGCCAUUUUAAAAUAAUGUUAAUAAAUGUAAUUCUGUCCACUAUGGCAAAAUAGGAUUUUAUUUUAGAUUUAGUGGAAUCUUUAACCAAGUCUCUGAUUAAGACAUGUGUAUACGUGCACAGAUGGUGACAGAGAAACUUAUAUAUGACGUUAAUAAUCUUUUAAAUGUUUUUAAGACGUAUUCACCCCAUUUUGGGGUUUUAUUUUUAAUUAAAGGCUUCUUAAAACAUGUGUGAAUAUGUGUAUAUUAUACAAAGAGUCUUAUAUUGUCUGCUCUGACAAAAAUAAAGUAUUUUUUAGGUUUAGGGGAAUUGACAGCGUGUGUCUUAUAAAUACAACUUGAUAAUACGUUUGUUUUGUAAAGAGACUUCUUUAAAGUCACGCAAGAAUAAAAUAUUUUAGUUGUAACUGGUUAAACUUAAAGCCGAUAUUUUCUUUCGAACUAGUCUAUUUUCUGUUCAGACACAAAGUUUUCUGAUGCUGAUAUUAUGUCAGUGUGUGUUUGUGUGGGGGUCGUGUGAUGUAAUCUUUGAAAGUUUAUGACCGAACCUUUAUUGGGGAGCGACAAGAGAUCUCCCGGAAUCAGUUUGGAUGGAGCAGAGCUGUUAUACUCAAGUCUAUUGGUAUGUAUGUGUUUCGCUGUGUUCGUUCCAGUAUUUUGUAUGAUUUAUUUAAAAACUAAAAAUUCGAUCUCUGGUAUUGCAGCGAAAUUGUCUAAACUGGUAUUAACUAUUCCUGGUAAAUCGCGGAGAAGAGUGGCCUGAACAAAAAAGUCAGACCGAGACUAGAACCUCCCGCAGCGUAACACGGAAAUCUUGGAACAAAAGAGACGCCGACUGGCUCGUGUUGUCCGGUUUGGAUAUCAGAGGCAAAGCGAACGUUGUGUGUACUAUUGCAAAAUAUAUAGCGGAUCUCCACGGUUAGGAUACAGACCACAACGCUUUGGACGUAUCUUUAAAAAAGAUUAAAAUCAGAGACUUUUUGGAUUUGUCUGGGGACAUUUUAAACAUUUUGUGGCAAAUUGGAUUUAAAACAUUUCGGAUACUGGAUACCUAGUUUGAUUUGUCCACAGAGCUUGUUUAAGACGUUUUCACCGCAUUUUAGGGUUUAUUUUUAAUUAAAGGCUUCUUAAAACAUGUGUGAAAAUGUGUAUAUUAUACAAUGAGUCUUAUAUUGUCUGCUCUGACAUAAAUAAAUUUUUAUAUUAGAUUUUA